rnacentral:rRNA from 1 species
GACGAACGCUGGCGGCAGGCCUAACACAUGCAAGUCGAACGCUCCGCAAGGGGAGUGGCGCACGGGUGAGUAACACGUGGGAACCUACCUUCUGGUACGGAACAACCAAGGGAAACUUUGGCUAAGACCGUAUACGACCUCCGGGUGAAAGAUUGAUCGCCGGAAGAGGGGCCCGCGUCCGAUUAGGUAGUUGGUGAGGUAACGGCUCACCAAGCCUUCGAUCGGUAGCUGGUCUGAGAGGAUGACCAGCCACACUGGGACUGAGACACGGCCCAGACUCCUACGGGAGGCAGCAGUGGGGAAUAUUGGACAAUGGGCGCAAGCCUGGAUCCAGCCAUGCCGCGUGAGUGAUGAA